CUGCAGGAUACAUCACUGUACAGGCAUCAGACACAGAUGUGCUUGUUAUUCUGAUUUGGACAUUUGGAAAUCAACGAGUGGAAGUAUGCUCCAUGACCAAAAUUGUUAUGGAUUGUGUUCAGGGAAACAAGAGAAGAUACAUCAACGUAUCCAACAUUGCCGACAUACUUGAUGAAUGUAAGCCAGGCCUCGCAGCAGCACUCGUAGGGUACCAUGCCUUCACUGGAUGUGAUUUUACGUCAGCAUUUUUCAGGAAAGGCAAGGUAAAAGCCUUUGACAUUGUCGAGAAAGAAAAGUCUGGACGUUAUCUGGACCUCUUCAUCACGAUGCGUAAUCCUUGUCGCCGUGCUGAUCUGGAUGCGGCUUCCAGUUUCGUAUGCAGUUUGUAUGCUCAGGGGAAGGCAAAAGAUGUCAAUGAAGCUCGCUACAACAAACUGAUACAGAUGACUGGCAAAAUUGACCCGAUAAGUUAGCAAAACACUCCUCUCACAAAUCUGAAGAAGAUCGACGGUGCACUUUUGCCACCAUCAAGAAGAAGUCUUCAUGUGCAUCUCCUCAGGGCCCACUAUGUUACCAUGUUGUGGAGCCGUGCUUCAUCACCUUACCCAGCUGAUGGUCUAAGCCCACUGGAAUAUGGCUGGUACAAGAAAAAUGACAUCCUUCAACCUGUUCGGUUCCAAGGACCAGCAUUACCAGAUACCUUUCUCGGAACAAACUCGGAAGAGGAAAAUGACGUGAUUGAGGGAAGAGAUGCGUAGUCAGAAGAAGAUUCUGAUGAGUUGGCCACUAAGUCUGAUAUGUUUGAAAGUGAUCUGAGUGAUUCUGGGGAUAAACCACGGCCUGAAGACUCCAACUCAGACUUGGAUGGCAACUGACUUGCACAAUUUUCCAGGACGCUUUCCACUAGUCAGUGCUCGAAGGGAAUUCAGACUUUAUCACUCUCACAGCGAAGUCUAUUAAAUUUUAGUUUAGGUCUGAUUUGUGCUCUUCUCAAGUGAAUAAUGAAUGAGAGCUCCAACCUGGGAAUCCACCCUUUCGAAUGGAGUAGAGCCUUGCAAGUCUUCCCUUCACGCAUGUUAAUGUACAUGUACUUUAAAUGAGUUCCAUCUAAAAUCAUCCAAUUUGUUGUGUUGUGAUCGAACUUAAAUAAUACACCUGUUCAGUUAACAUUUGAGGUUUGGCUGAAACACUGGCCCACGUUGAAAUGUAUCACGAGGUAGUUAUGUGAAGACACAUGUAUGUGAACAUUUGUAACUUUUAGUGAUUCGAAACAGGCAUGCUUGAAAAUCAUGUAUUCUGUAUUUGUUGGUUAUUUGUUAUAAAAACAAGUAGUUAAUGUGCUGUUAAAUGAAUAGUCAAUUGUGUUAGGGGAUCAAGCUCACUGUGUCAGUUGGGUUAAUAGGCGUGUCUGGCGGGCCUAUCCCACCACAAAAAAGUCUGCCAAUUGUAGGUAUAGAUAUGGGGUCUAUAAUACAUAUUUUGAAGUAGGUUGAUUUCGAUUGGCCACAUCGUUGAUCUAGCAGUGAUUGGGAUGGAGGUACAUGUAUAAGGCGUUUCUGUCAGAGUUAUCCCACCACAAAAAAAUUCGAU
rnacentral:lncRNA from 1 species